UGUGUGAUGUUCCCUUCCCUGUGUCCAUGUGUUCUUAUUGUUCAACUCUCACUUACGAGUGAGAACAUGGAGUGUUUGGUUUUCUGUUCUUAUGUUAUUUUGCUGAGAAUGAUGGUUUCCAGCUUCAUCCAUAUCCCUGCAAAGGACAUGAACUCAUCCUUUUUGUGGCUACAUAGUAUUCCAUGGUGCAUACGUGCCACAUUUUCAUUAUGCAGUGUAUCACUGAUGGCAUUUGGGUUGGUUCCAGGUCUUUGCUAUUGUGAAUAGUGCUGCAGUAAACAUUCGUGUGCAUGUGUCUUUACAGUAGAAUGAUUUAUAAUCCUUUGGGUAUAUACCCAGUAGUGGGAUGGCUGGGUCAAAUGGAAUUGUUGGUUUUAUCACCACACUGUCUUCCACAGUGGUUGAACUAAUUUGCACUCCCAUCCACAGUGUAAAAGUGUUCCUAUUUCUCCAUAACCUCUCCAGCAUCUGUUGUUUUCUGACUUUUUAAUUAUCACCAUUCUAACUGGCGUGAAAUGGUAUCUCAUCAUGGCUUUGAUGUACAUUUCUCUAGUGACCAGUAAUGAUGAGCUUUUUAAAAAUAUAUAUUUGUUGGCCACAUAAAUGUCUGCUUUUGAAAAGUGUCUGUUCAUAUCCUUUGCCCAGUUUUUGGUGGGGUUGUUUGUUUUUUUUUCUUGUAAAUUUGUUUAAGUUCCUUGUAGAUUCUGGAUAUUAGCUCUUUGUCACAUGGAUAGAUUGCAAAAAUUUUCUGCAAUUCUAUAGGUUACCUGUUCACUUUGAUGAUAGUUGCUUUUGCUGUGCAGAAGCUCUUUUGUUUAAUUAGAUCCCAUUUGUCAAUUAUGGCUUUUGUUGCCAUUGCUUUGGUGUUUUAGUCAUGGAAUCUUUACCCAUGCCUAUGUCCUGAAUGGUACUGUUUAGGUUUUCUUCUAGGGUUUUUAUGGUUUUAGGUCUUAUGUUUAAGUCUUUAAUCUAUCUUGAGUUAAUUUUUGUAUAUGGCGUAAGAAAGGGGUCCAGUUUCUUUUCUGCAUAUGGCUAACCAGUUUUUCCAACAUCAUUUAUUAAGUAGGGAAUCCUUACCCCAUUGCUUGUUUUUGUCAGGCUUGUCAAAGAUUAGAUGAUUGUAGAUGUGUGAUGUUAUUUCUGAGGCCUCUGUUCUGUUCCAUUGGUCUAUAUAUCUGUUUUGGUACUGGUACCAUGCUGUUUUGGUUACUGUAGCCUUGUAGUAUAGUUUGAAGUCAGGUAGCAUGAUACUUCCAGCUUUGUUCUUUUUGCUUAGGAUUGUCUUGGCUAUACAGGCUCUUUUCUGGUUCCAUAUGAAAUGUAAAAUAGUUUUUUUCUAAUUCUGCAAAGAAAGUCAAUAGUAGCUUGAUGGGGAUAGCAUUGAAUCUAUAAAUUACUUUGGGCAGUGUGGCCAUUUUCAUGAUAUUGAUUCUUCCUAUCCAUGAGUGUGGAAUGUUUUUCCAUCUGUUUGUGUCUUCUCUUAUUUCCUUGAGAAGUGGUUUAUAGUUCUCCUUGAAGAGGUCCUUCACAUUUCUUGUUAGUUAUACUCCUAUGUAUUUAAUUCUCUUUGUAGCAGUUGUGAAUGGGAGUUCACUCAUGAUUUGGCUCUCUAUUGUUGGUGUAUAGGAAUGCUUGUGAUUUUUGCACAUUGGUUUUAUAUCCUCAGACUUUGCUGAAGUUGCUUAUCAGCUUAAGGAGAUUUGGGGCUGAGACAAUGGGGUUUUCAAAAUAUACAAUCAUGUCAUCUGCAAACAGAGACAAUUUGACUCUUUGUCUUUGUCUUUUUUAAUCUUUGUUGGUUUAAAGUCUGUUUUACCAGAGACUAGGAUUGCAACCCUGCUUUUUUUUCUUUUGCUUUGAGCCUAUGUGUGUCUUUGCACAUGAGAUUGGUCUCCUGAAUACAGCACACUGAUGGGUCUUGACUGUUUAUCCAAUUUGCCAGUCUGUUCAUUUUGAUUGGGGCAUAUUUAAGGUUAAUAUAUGUGAAUUGGAUCCUGUCAUUAUGAUGCUAACUGGUUAUUUUGCCCAUUAGUUGAUGUGUUUUCUUCAUAGUGUCAAUGGCCUUUACAAUUUGGUAUGUUUUUGCAGUGGCUGGUACUGGUUGUUCCUUUCCAUAUUUAGUGCUUCCUUCAGGAUCUCUUGUAAGGCAGGCCUGAUGGUGACAGAAUCUCUCAGCAUUUGCUUGUCUGUAAAGUGUUUAUUUCUCCUUCUCUUCUGAAACUUAGUUUGGCUGGAUAUGAAAUUCUUGAUUGAAAAUUUUUUUCUUUAAAAAUGUUUAAUAUUGGCCUCCACUCUCUUCUGGCUUGUAGGGUUUCUGCAGAGAGAUCUGCUGUGAGUCUGAUAGGCUUCCCCUUGUGGGUAACCCAACCUUUGUCUCUGGCUGCUCUUAACAUUUUUUCCUUCAUUUCAACCUUGGUGAAUCUGAUGAUUAUGUGGUCUUGGGGUGGCUCUUCUCGAGGAGUGUAUUUGUGGUGUUCUCUGUAUUUCCUGAACUUGAAUGGUGGCCUGCCUUUCUAGGUUGGGGAAGUUCUCCUGGAUAAUAUCUUGAAGAGUGUUUUCCAACUUGGUUGCAUUCUGCCUGUCACUUUCAGGUAUACCAAUCAAACGUAGGUUUGGUCUUUUCAUAUAGUCCCAUAUUUCUUGGAGGCUUUCUUUAUUUCUUUUCACUCUUUGUUCUCUAAUCUUGUCUUCAUGCUUAAUGUCAUUAAGUUGAUUUUCAAUCCCUGAUAUCCUUUCUUCUACUUGAUUGAUUUGGCUAUUGAUACUUGUGUAUGCUUCACAAAGUUGUUGAGUUGUGUUUUUCAGCUCCAUCAGGUCAUUAAUGUUCUUUUCUAAACUGGUUAUUCUAGUUAGCAAUUCCUCUAACCUUUUUUGAAUGUUCUUAGCUUCCUUGCAUUGGGUUAGAACCUGCUCCUUUAGCUUGGAGAAGUUUUUUAUUAUCCACCUUCUGAAGCCUAUUUCUGUCAAUUGGUCAAACUGAUUCUCUGUACAGUUUUGUUCCCUUGCUGGUGAAGAGUUGUUACCCUUUGGAGGAGAAGAGGUGUUCUGGUUUUUGGAAUUUUCAGUCUUUUUUUUUUUGCUGUUUAUUGCUCAUCUAAAUGGAUUUAUCUAUCUUUGGUCUUUGAUGUUGGUGAUCUUCGGAUGGGGUUUUAUGUGGACAGCCUUUUCACUGAUGUUGAUGCUAAUCCUUUCUGUUUGUUAGUUUUCCUUCUAUCAGUCAGGCCUCCCUGCUGCAGGUUUGCUGGAGUUUGCUGGAAGUCCACUCCAGAUCCUGUUUGUCUGGGUAUCGCCAGUGAAGGCUGUGGAAUCGAAUAGAUUGAUGCCUGUUCCUUCCUCCAGAAGCUUCGUCCCAGAGGAGCACCCAGCAGAUGCCAGUUGGAGCUCUCCUGUAUGAAGUGUCUGUGAACCCCUGCUGGGAGGUGUUUCCCAGUCAGGAGGCACAGGGGUCAGGGACUCCCUUGAGGUGGCAUUCUGUCCCUUAGCAGAGCUGGAGUACUGUGCUGGGAGAUCUUGGCUCUCUUGAGAGCUGGCAGGCAGGAACAUUUAAUUCUGCUCAAGCUACACCCACUGUGGCCUCUUCCUGCAGGUGCUCUGUCCCAGGGAGAUGGGAGUUUUAUCUGUAAGCCCCUGACUGGGGCUUUCUUUCAGAGAUACCCUGCCCAGAGAGGAGGAAUUCAGAGAGGCAGUGUGGCUACAUACAGUGGCUUUGCUGAGCUGCGCUGGGCUCUGCCCAGUUCAGACUUCCUGGCAUGUUUGUUUACAACGUGAGGGGAACACCGCCUACUCAAGCCUCAGUAAUGGUGGAUGCCUCUCCCCCCACCAAGCUCAGGUGUCCCAGGUUGACUUCAGACUGCUGUGCUGGCAGUAAGAAUUUCUAGCCAGUGGAUCUUAGCUUGUUGGGUUCCAUGGGGGUGGGAUCCACUGAGCUAGACUACUUGGCUCCCUGGCUUCUGCCCUUUUUCCAGGGCAGUGAAUAGUUCCAUCUCACUGGCAUUCCAGGUGCCACUGGGGUAUGAAUAAGCCUCCUGCAGCUAGCCAUUGUCUGCCCACAUGGCCGCCCAGUUUUGUGCUUGAAACCCAGGACACUGAUGGUGUAGGCACCCAAGGGAAUCUCCUGGUCUCCAGGUUGGGAAGACCAUGGGAAAAACAUAGUGUCUGGGCCACAAUGCACCAUUCGUCACAGCACAGUCCCUCACAGCUUCCCUUGGCUAGGGGAGGGAGUUCCCCAACCCCUUGCACUUUCUGGGUAAGGCGAUGCCCCACCCUGCUUCGGCUCACCCUCCACGGGCUGCACCUACCGUCUAACCAGUCCCAAUGAGAUAAGCCAGGUACCUGAGUUGGUAAUGCAGAAAUCGCCCACCUUCUGCAUUGAUGUCUGGGAGCUGCAGACUGGAGCUGUUCCUGUUUGGCCAUAUUGCCCAGGUCCCCUGGAAUAUUUUAAAUAUAUACGUGAUUGAUUCCUGUGAUUCAUUCUUCUUCCUCUUAGUAGUUCUGACUUAGAAGGUUUAAACACAAGGAUAUUCACUAGUUACAGAUGAGAUUAGAAACGUUACUAAUGGGAAGAUAGGUAGGAGAAUGCAGCUCAGAGCUGGGGCUUUGGAGAGCUUGCUGCUCCUUGACCCUCCAUGGGUGGAUUUCGGCCUUGCUUGUCUGGGGCACACUGUGAAAUGCAGGCUGGCAAGAGCGUGGGCCUGGCCAGGCCUGCAGACCCUGUCCAUGUGCGUCCAGCUGAGGAGGCUGGAUUCUGUGUUGGCAUUUACUGGUCAUUUUUGUUUAUCAUCUCUCCCCUCUCCUUCCCAAGGGGAGGAGACAGUUCUGGCGAGACAGGAGCCAGAAGGUUUGAUCUCAGUACUGCUGCCCUCUGGGAAGUCAAGAGAGGUCCGUUUUCUCUCACAGAGAGAGAUGGGUGCCAGUAUCCCACCAAAUUCUUUAGGGCAGGCCACAUGGGUGCCACUAGCCUCCUUGGAGGUCACGCCUGCCUCUUCUGGCUUUGUGCUGGUCACUCUUCCCAUCUCACCACUUGGGGCUGGCUCAGGCUGAGGAGCUUCUCUUCCAAGGUGGAGAAUGUGAGGGUCAGAGACAGAAGGUUCGUGACUGUGGACUCUACCCUCUGACCCACUCUGGGGAAGCUGGUGGGGACUUGCAUCUGAGUGCUUGAGGAAGAGAUGGGAUGUGCAGGGAAGAGGCUGGGAGGAGGAGGAAGUCAUUUGUGUCCAGCAUCUUCCAUGCCAGUACUGAGCUAAACUUGCAUGGGCACAUUGAAAAGGAGGGUGCAGCCCCAGGCGUGGCUGGAGAGAGCUCUGUGUCUUCACUUUCCACAGCCUGUGUUUCAACAGAGCACAGAGGGAAACGGAACUCAUUUUCCCUUUUUUAAUAUAACAUUCCAUCUCCAUAAUUAAAGGGAUACAAAAUACACUGUGGGAAUUUUAGGAAAUUCUGAAACAUGAACUAGAGGAAAACCCCAAAGAUUAGUCUGUAACCCACCUCUCCAGAGAUGUCAUUAGCAUUUUUCUUUAUUUCCUUCCAGUCUGUUUUCUAGUUGUGUUUUUAUGUAGAAGGAGUAGUGUACAUUUAUGUCAACUUAGGGCCACACUGUGUAAGCAGUUUUAUAUUUUGCAGGUAACUUUUAGUAUCAUAGGCCCUUUUCUAUGCCUUUAGAUAUUUCCCAACAGCCCAUUCUUUAAUGGCAGGCUAACAUUUCAUUCUUGUUUCCAAAUUUGCAGCAUGGUAAUUAUGACUUAAUUACUCUCCCUGUGUGUGCAUACUGUCAGUCUUUGACUUUUCUUUAGGAUAAAUUCCUGGAGAUGAAGUUAUGGGGUCAACUGGUAGAACACUUUUGAGCUUUUUUCCCACCAAGUGUAUAUUGCUGCUCUAUGUCAAAGAACUCGAGAUAUAGUCGCCACUUUAAGAAUGUCCAUUUCUCUGCACUUUGGUGGCACAGUGUAUUAUGUCUUAUGAUGAUGAUUUUUAGAGAUGGAGUCUCAUUGUAUAGCUCAGGCUGGACUCAAAGUCCUGGGCCCAAGCGAUCCUCCUGUAUUAGCCUCCCAAGUAGCUGGGACUACAGCCGUGUGCCACUUGUAUUAUUAUUUUUAAGUCCCUUCUCUUAUGUUUGAUGCAAUUUAAAUUCUGUUGUUAAGGAAGCUAAGUUGGUGAGACGAGACAGUUGUUCCUCAAGACACAGCCAGCUGCGGGGGCCCGUGUGCCCACCAAGUUCCCCCUGGUGUUCCUUUGAGGUGCCUGUCCCCCUCCUGGGAACAUGGCCAGGUCCCUUUCUGCCCUCAGCCACGGUGUGGGCUCCUGUCUGCACCCCCACCUUCCCGUGGCUGCUCACCACACUUUCUGCCCCCAAGUCCCUGCUGAAAGGCCCAGGGACAUCUCCAGUCGCAGAGCCUGCUCCUAGCUCAGAGGUUGUUUGCUCAUCAGGUCUGCAGCACUGGGCUUCUCUUCUGCAUGAGCAUGCUGGUCUGGGAGAUUUUAUUGAAAUUGGAGUUUGGAGGUGUAGGAGAGUGCGGCUGAGCUGUGGCCGUUCCCACAGAUGCCCCAUCAGUGUCCUUCUGAGGCACCUUCACCCCAGCCUGCAAAUCAGGGCCAUAGGAGAGUUGGAGAGGCUCAGCCACUCGGCACAGGAGUCCUGGCACCAUGCCAGAAGUGAUGGCAUCUGGGGGCAGAGGACCCACGGCGCUUUGCACUACAUUCGCUUCGCACGUCCUCCGCCAGGAGGAGAGCUUUUCCUUUUUCAUUGUAAAUGAGAAAUUCUUUCCAAAAUAAGAUAGAGCAUCACCAACUUCAGGAAGCCAAAGCAACCCAACUGAAUUGUAUAAAUAUAUGUCUACACAUAAGGUGGAAAAUAGAUGCAGAAUACAGUGACACACAGUGACACAGUUGAUGGGACCCAGCAAAGCCUGUGGUGGAAAACUCUCCCCCUCAUCCACUGAUGUCCAAAGGUCUCCUUUGAAAGCACUGCCUCCUCCUCCCCCAGCACGGCUGCACUUCCCUUUGACCUGGAUGCCUCCCACCACCCUGCACACUGGGCAGAGUGGGCCGCCCCCCCCUCACUCUAUCUGAGAGGUUCUGUACCCCAUGUUCUGACCCUGUAGCAGUCCUCCUCCUCUAUGUGUCGGGCCAGUGCUGCCUCAGCCCCCGAACUCCAAACACACCCACAUCCCACUCUUCCUGUCGUCCGCUUUUCUUGUCUCCAUGGCCGGGGAUUGGAGGGUGAGAAGAAAGAUGUAUUGACUUUUCUCUCUUCUUUAGUUCGAAUAUCUCUGCACGAACACAUUUGACACUUUUUCCAAACCUCUGCUUCCUAAGGGGAUGGAGGAUGGAGGAGAGAACUGGGCUGUUUUAUCUUCAUGCCUGCAAAUGAAUUAUGCAUUUGGCAACCUUUCUAUUUUAACCGUCCCAUUUCAGUUGCCCCAUAGGGGUAAACUUUCUAGGAUUCUAAACCAGAAAAAUAGUUCAGGAGGAUAUUACUGAGAAAUACGUAACCUCCAUAUAAAUGAAAAUUAGUAUCUUGGUAUCCUGAGCUCAAGGGGUGAAAGCAGGCAUUGGGUCUGCCUUCACCUGUGUCCUGGCACUGACCCUCUGGAUUCAGAUCAUGAGAUGCUGGGCUGGGCUGUGGGGUCACUUGCAGCCACUUGUUGGAUUUUUCUUUAGUUCAUCUCAGGAGCCCCUUGGGCGUGGAUUCUCUGGUAUCUCCUGAUUGCCUGGAGUUUUCAUAAUUGGCUCGGAACUCAUCAUUCAGCAGAUGGUACUUAAGACUGGAGGAGUAGCCCCCUGUGAGCUUAAGAGACUCUAACAACGAGUGUGAAGGGGAUGUCCCCAAUAAACCAGUUAAAUAGGACUCAGAGGGGAAAGCUUCAUCUUCAUCAGCUUGCAUACUUGAUUUUUUAUUGUGGUAAAAUAUACAUAGCAUAAAACUUACGAGGAUGGCUAUUUGUAAGUGUACAGUUCGGUGGUGUAGUGCAUUUAUGUACAUUCACACCCUUGGGGAAUCGUCCCUACCCCCAUCUCCAGAGCAUACUGUGACAUCUGUCCCCAUAAGCACCGAGUCUCUGUCCAUAAUGCCCCAGUCUCGCGUUCAUGGCCCUUCUCCUUUCAGAAAGUGCUUUCUUUAAAGUUGGUAUAAAUGCCUGAAGUUGAAUCCUGUCUGAUGUAAUGUGGUGUAGUAACAGUGUACCCAUUCGAAUCUGACUCCCUCAUCCUCAGGAAGCAGGGAGCUGUGUUUAGUGACUGGUGGCAUCCACCUAGGGGCAUCUGUCCCAGGCCUGCUCACUCUCGCCUGUCCUCAAGGGACUUGGGUUCCCAAACCUUGCACUAAAAGUGAGCCUGGGCACAUGGGUUCUGGGCAUCGUGACCCUGCCCUCCUCGUCUGUGGGGCCAGGCCACCUCUGUAUGGGGUCACCAGCUGCUGCUUUCAAGAAGUUGGAAACUGAGACCUGGUUGCUGAGGCUCUGAGGUGAACACUCUGGAAGGAGGUUGUCUUAGGCUUGAGGCUUCCGUAACAAAUACCACAGACUGGGCGUCUGAAACAGUAGAAGAUGAUUUUCCCACAGUUCUGGAGGCUGUAAGGCCCAGAUCAAGGAGUCGGCAGGGUGGGCUUCUCCCGAGGCCUCCCUCCUGGCCUCUCGCCUUCGUCUCUUCACAUUGUUCCACAUGAAGCCCAUUCUGAGGGCCUCACUGGGCUGGAACUUCAGUGGGUGGGUUUUGGGAGGUCCAGCUUAGUGUACCAUCGUGGGUGCUGCAGAUCCUCAGGACCCCCGGUGUGUAAGAAAGGAACAUGGAGUCGACCAGGCGGAGUGCAGGGGGUGGCCUGUGCUGCGUGGGGCCCCAGGGAGGUGGGUGGACACAUUCCCAAGUUUUCAGGCAUGGUUCCAGAUGGUUUCCAUUUCCUUGAAGACACUCAAGAGGGCCUCCCUUCCUUGCACUGGAGGGGCCCUGCCAGGUUUGCUGCAUGGCCCUGCUCUGCCAGGGAUGGAGCCAAGGGGAGUGUGGAGAGUCGUCAACUCGGGCUGCAAACGUGGGCCUCAGCAGCAUUCUUCUGCACGGCCAGGCAUGCUCCAGGCCCACAGAGAGGCAAGUCAGCAAACCAGCAAUCUCCCCACACUUAUGUCUUGCAGUUCUAAUUCGUAUUUGUUGUGCUUUGGGAUCGUGAUAAUUGGGGUCAUUUGCUGAAGACUCCAAAAUAAUCCCCCCUACUUUAUGUUUUGGAAAUGUAGUCUUUCAGGCAAACUGUGGUGCUCUCCCCCGUGUUUGUUAGAAAGGUUGGGCUAAAUGUCACCCAGCCAGCAGCUUGCAAAGGAGCUCCGAGCAGUUGGUGGAAUCUCAGUGGGUAUUUCCCAACCAUCUAGAACAAACAGAGACUGUAUCCUCGCGUGUGCUAGGAACAGCUCAGCCCCAUCCCAUGGUUCCAGAUGGUUUCCAUUUCCCUGCGGAUGGGGUGGGGUCUCCUGUUUAGAGUCCCAGCUCAGAUGCCUCCCUGUACCUUCCCCCGCCUGGCUUGCGCCAGGGCCUCUGUCGCGCCUCUGUGGCAGCCUUAUGCUGCAAGCCUGUCUCAUCUUUUGAACUUGCCCUGGAAACGCUCUGUUAGAUUCACAGAACAAAAACAGCCACUGAAGAAUCGUAUUUGAAAUCCUACAAAGGAAUUACAUUUUGUUUUGCUUGAAAGAGUGCAUAGUAUUCUCCUUUGCAAGUAAGAAAACAGCAAGAGACAGAUGUCUUUAGGCAACUAUUUAAUGAAUAAAUGAGAGUGAUUGAAUGGGAGCAUUUAAAUUGGGCAUUUUCUGUGCAAUAUUAAUUACACUGGAUACAUAGUAAGUUCCUUUUUCAAAGAUAGUUCAAAGGCAAAUGUCAAUCUGGUUCUGCCCAGGUUACGUGUCUACGUACGUAAACAACUUCCAGAUGAACAGAGCAUCCGUUAAUAAGCUUUUACUAAUCUUGGCCACAGGCCCUAUUGAAUCAGCUGUGUUUGACCUCUACCACACUGGGCAUAAGAAAAUUCAUUUAACGGUGGUGUGACUAAAGCUGAUGUUGUAAAUGGGCUAUGUUGUACAGGCAUUUCACAUACACCCAGUUUUAAAGUGGGGCUUCUCCAGUGGGCCUCUAGGAUCUGGAGCUUAAAAUCUGGACCAUGUUUUCUUUUGGCUACAAAAUAAAUGGCUUCUUGAUGGAGCAGGCCUGUAGGGAGUCUGGGUCUCCUGGGAGUGCAGGACUGCUUUGGUGAUGGGCAUCACCCAGGCUCUGCGAAGCCUCUGAAUGUGACUUGUGAUGACCUACGUGGGUGAUAUAUGUACACAGCUGUGCAGGAGCUGCCAGCAGCCACGGGGAGUAUUCUUGAUCUGCUGUGUCUGUCUCUUGUUUUCAUGCUGGUAUGCUCUCAUCAGGCAAGAAUGUUGUCUUUUCUAAAAUCGUGUAUGGGCCAGAAGGUGAUGAUAGGAGAGAAGCCAUAUACAAGCAACACUGUCACUUGGUGGGUUCAGGGCUUCUGGUCAAGAAGACUAAAUGAUGUAAUGGAAACGGAUGACUUUGGGCCAUUUCAUUUUACCGCAUUGUACCUUGGUUUCAUCACUUGUGAAAUGUGGACCAAAUAGAUAAUAAGGUCAGAGUGAAGAUUUCUUUUAUUUUCUUUUUUUUUGAGACAGGGUCCCGUUCUGUCUCCCAGGCUGGAGUGCAGUGGUGCAAUCACAGCUCACUGUAGCCUUGAACUCCUGGGCUCAAGGGGUCCUCUUAUCUCAGUCUUCUGAGUAGCUGGGACUACAGGCACACAUCAUCAUUUCCCGUUGAUUGUUUUUAUUUUUUUGUAGGGAUGGGGUCUUGCUAUGUUGCCUAGGCUGGUUUCAAACUCCUGCUCUCAGGGGAUACUCCUGUCUCACCGUCCCAAAGUGCUGAAAUUGCAGGAGUGAGCCACUGCUCCUGGCACGAUUCCAUUAUUUAAUGUGUAUAAAUCCCCCUCCCAGUGCCUGACAGAUGGAUGGUGUUCAAUACAUGAUAACUAUCAUCAUCAUGGUCUGUUGAAUUUGGAUCUAUUUCUAUUUUUUGUCCUUCUCUAUUUCCCAUUUUCUAGUAUUCCAAGGGGUGGGCAUCUUCCCUGUAGGGACAGUUUUCCUGGCAAGGCUGGAGCCCCUACACUGGGAGUGAGUCAGGAACUGUGUUCUUGCCCCUGUGCCGGCUGCAGAGUUCUGGAUAAGAUAUUUGAAAUUCCCUGACAAUGGGGUGCUAUAUUAGGCUGUUCUCACACUGCUAGUAAAAACAUGCCUGAGACUGGUUUAUAAAGGAAAGGGGUUUAAUUGACUCACAGUUCUACAUGGCUGAGGAGGCCUCACAAUCAUGGUGAAAGGUGAAUGAGGAGCAAAGUCACGUUUUACAUGGCAGCAGGCCAGAGAGUUUGUAUAGGGAAACUCUUCUUUAUAAAACCAUCAGAUCUUGUAAGACUUAGGCACUACCACGAGGACAGCAUGGGAAAGAUCUAUCCCCUAUGAUUCAAUUACCUCUUACUGAGUCUCCCCCAUGACAUGUGGGAAUUAUGGAAGCUACAAUUCAAGAUGAGAUUUGGGUAGGGACCCAGCCAGACCAUAUCAGGUGCAGACAGGGUCCUCUCCAUGAUGUCAUCCGGUUCUAAAUGUCUAUUUGAGUUCUGCAGAGUAUUCAUAUUCCAUUUCAAAAAUGGUUUUCCUCAUGAUUGAGCAUUUACUUACUGUUGGAUAGAAAAUCAAAUGCCACCCAUCUUGGCCGGGAGUGAUAAGAACAGUCUAGAAAGUUCUGCUUGGGAAUUCCCCAAGUCCUGUGCUUCAGUUUUGCCUCAGGACUUGGUGCCUGGACAUUUGUGCCCUUUCUCAGGUAAGCCCCACCAGAUGGAGGGCAUCAGUUCCAGGAACAGGAGGAGCUUCCCCAGCUUAUGGGAGGGAAACUGAGCACGCUGUCUUCAUAGAGGUGGCGUUUGCAAUUGGGAAUAUUCUCUUUAAAAACUCAGAAAAUGUCUAGGUAAAAUAAGUAAGUGGUGUGAUUUUCCAGCAAGCUUUAAAAAAAAGCCAAAACAAAACAGUGCAUAUUCUUAUCCCCCAAUCUUAAUACCUCUGAAGACACAAAGCAUGAAGCUUUCAUUUUCAGAGUUUAAGGAAGAAAAAUUGCUCCAUGAUGGCUAUUACUGUAAAAGUUGAAGAGCUGGGCAUCCCAUUUGUACGUGUGGUGAGCUUUGAAGCUAAAAUGCAGGGGGAUAGAGAUGCUGUCCCCAAGGGAGUCCCGCAGGGUUGCUCCCAGAUACCAAGGCUUGGCUGGCAGCAUGCAAGUCUGAUUCGGUGGCCCUGAUCACUGUAGGUGUGUUCACCGGGGAGAGGAAACCGGGGAGGGAAUGCAGGGGCCAUGGGGUCCAAUCCUCGUGUUUCUGAACAGAACCUGUACUUUGCUAGACCAUAAACUCCCACUGCACGUUUGUCCCUGGGCUGCUUCAAAGUAGUCACCAUUCCCUGGGAUGCUCUCCCUGUGCCUCAGCUUGGAGUGGGUGGGGGCUGCAAACCCCUGGUUCUCGUGGAUCCUUUGUGUUUGGGGAGCAUCAGUCAGGAUUAUGGUCCUCUUGCCACCGACAUACAGAAAGGAGGCAUGAUGACCACACUGCGCAGCUACUUUGGCCCUGGCUGUGGAGACUCGUGCACCCUUUUCACCUCUCUCCAUCAGAGAAUGAAAUUAAGUAACAACCUAAGAUGCAGAGCGUCUGGUCUGGACUUAGGUCUUCAUUCACUGCUUCCAGCUGUGCUUUUUUAGGCCGGCUUCUGAGCGCCUCCAGUUUUUGGUUUGCUCGCUUGUGAAAGGAGAGUAAGAGAGCACUGCUGGCUUCCCUGGAUGGUGGUGAGAACAGAGAGGGGUCAUGGGCAUGCAGCGUGUCUCAAGCUGUUCUUGUCCUAGGAAUGCAGCUAGGAUGGGUGGGUCUAAGUUUCAACCCACGUAGGUCUGAAAGGUUCAGACCCACCUGGGGGACCCGAGGGUAGUUCCCUGGGGCUCUUUGGGCCUGAGGACCUGCAGAGCACCCUGAAAACAAACCUAACAAAGUAAAAAAGUGGGAUGCUUGAGAAACAUCUGGACACAUGAGUGGAGGAGGGGAGGCAGGGACUCUGAGUGUGGGCUUGCAGCGUCUCUCCUGGUGGUCCAGCCACUCCUCACUCUCACAGCAUACAAGCUGGGGAGGUCGCGGCAAAACUAACAGUGAAGAAUGGCCUCCCGAGACCUUGGUGGGGCGGCCUCCUCUGAGCUGGCUGAGGGCGGGGGGUUCCAGCAGGGCACAGUCUCGAAGGGCCCAGCAGGGUGGCAGCCUGUCAUGGAGCACAGCACCUGCCCAGAGUGGCUCCCACACCAAGCCUGGUGGGAGCUGGGCCUGCUGGGGACAGGGCCAGCUGCUCUGGAGUCAGGCAGAAGCAGCGUCCUUGGCGUGGAGGCCAGUGUCCUCCAGAGGAAGUAGAACCAGAGAUCUCACAGGCACGAGGGGAACAGAUGGGGUGAGGGGCCAGGGGAUGUGACUGCUGCAGCUUGCCCCAGCGGAGGCCAGGAAGGCAGAGGAGGCAGAUUGGGAGUCCCUGUGGGUACCCGAAGAACUGGUUUACAACUCUGUCCCCCUGGGACACCAAAGAAUUUUGGGGGAGAGUGGAAGCCCUGCAGGUUGAGGGGAGGGCUAGAGCAAGAGAAAGUAAAUGUCAUUCAUUUUUCUUCAUAGCCAUUCUCCUUGUAGAAUCUGCUUAGAAUAGCCUUGGGAAGCAUGCAUUAUGACAGUUACCUGUUAUUGAUAUCUAGUUCUCAAAACACUUUCCCCUUUUCAGAAACGUGUGAUUAUGCGUUCUUGUCACCCAUGGCACGUGCGUGCCUUCUUGAUCACUCACAGACAUCGAAAGGGCUUUUUCUUCACUCUCAGGGCUGGAAAGAGUGAAGGGCAGGCGUGUUGCCACAGCUGGUCCAUAGAGCAAUCUACUGGCAAAUGCUUAUGUGGUUUCAUUAGCUGGGAGUGGGGAGGAUGUUAGGAGGGACAGGACUCUUCUCUGUCUUAAAGGACUUGCAAUCUGGUUGGGAAAAUAAACCCUACACAGGCAAAAAACAAUUAAUAUUUGCCUUGAUAUCCAGAGCUGGCUGGCUCCAUGGACCCUAGCACGCUUUUCAGAGAAAGGCGGUGCUGCCGUCGCAUAUCUCCCCCGGUAAGAGAGAGCGAUGUGUUUGCCAUCACCCUGAGCACAGAAGGCACAGUUUCCCUGGAAUUCUAAUAGCACUGCAAUGAGGCUUAAUAUAUCCAUUUUUUAAAAAUGGUCAUGCGUCUGUUUGAAAACAAACCUGAGAGUUAGCUGUAUAUAAAUGCAUCAUCUAUUUCUCGUGCCCACACUUGCUUUAUUGAUAGAUUUCCUUUUUCUGCCCCCUUCUUUUUGGUGCAUGUUUAACACUCACGUUAUUGCAAAGCAGCCUGGGAUGAGCCACUUAGGACCAUCUCGGCUCCCAUUACACUUAUGUCUCUUAGUUAAGGAUGCUAAUUCUCCUUGCAGCUCCUCAUCUGCCUCUGUACUCCGCUGGAUUCUUAAGGCGAUGCUGAACAGUUCUCUCUCCGCAGCCAUCUCCCACCCCUCAUGGUGGCAGCGGGGACUUUCCUUGCGCCACGCCAGUCCCUCAAACCUGCCCCCCUCUCUGUCCUCCCAUCCAUUCAGCUUCUAUUCAACGGGGACUUCUCAUGGGCUAAAGUCCAGAUUCCCCCCUUGAACUGCUCGCCAAGACUUCGCUUCAAGCCAUUCAUGCUGGGUGCUCUGGGAGCCUGAUGCUUUGGAGAAUGAACGAGGAAAGGAACCAAGCAGGCGUGCUUUGCUGUGUUAUAGUUGGGUCACUUGACAGACAGUGCCGUGUGUGAGACAGGAGGGCAUGUGGACAAGCUGGGACAUCAUCACAGCCUCCCUCCCAUGGCCUGGUGUCCCUUCAUCCCACAGAGGCUAGAGCCCCCACUCGCAAAGGCCUGGCCCCGCACACGUGGUGAAGAGGCCGUGGGUAGUUUCCUCUGGAAGCAAUUUGUUCUCUUACUGCUGCUGGGGUUUCCUCCCUCUGAAAGUUCUGCUGAUUUUUCACUGCACCACAAACCCCAACGCAGCGCAUGCCAGGUCCCUGGCUUCCUUGCUGUGAGUGCCGCAGCCUCCUGCAUGCCCCCAGGCCGUGGCUGCAAAAAGGAAAAAGGAAAAAAAGAUUCGUGUUUGUUACAGUAGAACCCAAAGCUUGACAGUCGGAUGCCAUCCCCAUAAUUGAAGUAUUUAUGUGUCUAAACAUUUCACUGUCGUUGGGAAGUAAACACACGGUGCGUAUGGGUGAGUCUGUCACACCCAGGCAGCCGCCUGCUCAGGCAGGCCCACACCUGUGACCUUGUGGCUUUUCUUGGAACACUGGAAGGAUUGUCUCUCCUUGAGUUCCCAUUAAUUUAAAUCAAAACUAAAGUUCACGGUGUCUCUCUUCUGCUGGUGACAUUUUCCACUUCACACGUUGUCAACCUCAUUUAACAUGUUGCUACUCGGCCGAAGUCACCUCUGCAGGAAACACCCAAACAGAAGCAGCUUUCCUCCUGCCCUUCAGACUCCCCGCUGCUGCUGUGAUGUCUGGGGGUGUAUUUAAAACUUAGAGACUGUAGGCUGGGUGGAGGGCUGAGAAAGGUGGGCCACUUGAGGCCAGGAGUUUGAGAACAGCCUGGCCAACAUGACGAAACCUACAAAAAUUAGCCAGGCUGGUGGUGCACACCUGUAAUGCCAGCUACUCAGGAGGCUGAAGCACUAGAAUUAUUGCUUGAGCCCGGGAGGCAGAGGUUACAGUGAGCCAAGAUGGUGCCACUGCACUCCAGCCUAGAUGACAAAAAUAAAAUAAAAUCAAACUCAGAUUUCUGGCUUCUCUGUAAAGAUGGACCUGCCCGCCAGGCCUGCAUUUCCCCGUGGCCUUCACUGGGCCUGCACUCCCCACGUGCCACCCUCCUCGCAGCCAGAAAGAUGUCUUUUCAGCAUCCCGGGGCAGAACAGGCAGCCCCUCUAGAAGACUGAGAGGAGACCUGCCUCUGAGUGGAGCCAGGCUGCAGUUAGGACUGGAAGCGGGGAGAAAUGGCAGCUCUGGAAUCAGACAGCCUGGGUUUCAGUGGCAGCUCUACUUGUCUGAUCUUGGGAAAAAUUCCUACCUUCUCUGAGCCUUGGUAUGCUCAUUUGCAAGAUGAGAAAAAUGAUAGCUUAUAUGAUGGUUGUGUAAAUGUUGUGAAGGCAGGUCUGUGAACAAGGCCCUGACAGUGUUGGUGAGAAGUGAAUAGAUGGGAGCCGUUGCCUAUGAUGGCUUCCCUGGUGUGAGUCAUGGCAGACCCACAACAGUGCACUCGGAAGGCAGACUGCUUUCCUUGAAUUCAGUGAAGAUGCCUGACCAGACAGGAAAGCAAGACCCAAGGAGUACUUCCAAAAACUGUCUUUUUACAGUAGGACAGAAAUGCAUUAAGGCACAUGUAUUUAUCUGCUAGGUCAGUUGUCAUGAAGAACCACAGACUGGGUGGUUUAAAUCACAGCAGUUUGCUGCCCAGUUCUGGAGGCUGACGUCCAGGAUCAAGUUCCCGGCAGGGUUGCUCCCUGGCGAGGCUGUGAGGCGGAAUCUGGUCCAGGCCUCUCCUCUGGCUUCUGGUGGCAGCUUUGGGUGUCCUUGGCUUGUGGCCCAUUGCCCUCAUCUCGGCUUCAUCUGCACUCGGCGUUCUCCCUGUGGGGGCUUGUGUCCAGAGUUCCCAUUUCGGUAAGGAAACCAAGUUAUAUUGGAAUAAGGUCCUUUAAGGACCUCACCUUAACCAUGUUCAUUAUAAUGAUCAUAGUUAAUUGAUUAUAUCUGCAAUGACUGUAUUUCCAUAUAAGGGCAUACUCUGAGGUGCUGGGGGUUAGGACUUCAACAUGGGAAUUUUGGGAGAUACAAUGAAGCCCAUAAUAGAAAUGCUGUGACUAAAACUGUAGGAUGCAUCUCUCCUUUUUCCCCUAACAAAUGGAGGCUUUGUCACCUGGUUUUCUGUCUUCUCUCUGUCCUGGUUCUGCUGUCUUCCAAAUGGAGGCUUUGUCACCUGGUUUUCUGUCUUCUCUCUGUCCUGGUUCUGCUGUCUUCCUGGGUGCCUUCAGCAUGUGCUUGAUGGCCUGGCCUCUUGGUGCCCUGACUGUGAUCUUCCCAGUGGCCGCUUCUCCACUUCGUCAUGCAUCCUCCACCUCGCCCCUAUCAACUUGAUGCAGUGUCAUUGACAAGAUCAUAAAUAUGCAUGUGCCUCUCUCUAUAUAUAAUUUUUUACCUUUCCAGCUUGCCCGAUCAGCUACUUCCACUAAAACCAUCUCUGACCCUCAGAACCCCCUGUUCAUCCAUUCUUUAACUUUUUUCUUAUCCAUUGGCUUCUCUUCUUAUUUCUCUCCAUAUCUACCUUAGAUUCCUUGGUUCCUCAAAAUUUAGCUCUUAUCACAUCACCUCCCUGUCCCUCUGCAAAUUUGUCUGUCAGAACCCCAACUCUAGAUGAACUCAUCAAUACAUUUUCUCUGUGCCUGUACCCCGGCAUUCAGGAGGUCAGGGAAAAGCACACAAUAGGGCAGAUAAGAAUCCUGAUAAAUACACGCACACCAGCCUCGAAUGGGGUCUCCACCCUGCGGAGCAAUCCUGCUGUAUUUCCCUGGCCAGGAAGUUAUCCGGCACUCCUUAAUGACUAUUUUGAACUUUCUUUACCAUUCUGGAAAUUCUGAAGCCUCAUUAAUAUCUGUCUUUUCAGAAGAGAACCAUGAUUCUUUUCUGGGAAAAUUAAAGCAUUUAGAACUAGAACUCUGCAAUGUCCUGCUCCCAAAUCAAUACACCUGACCGAAAACCUCAUCCACUCCUCCGAGCCUCAUUCCUCAUAGAGGAGGUCCUAAGUGCAAAGUCCUUGACAGAGGCUCAUCUUUCUAUCUGUAUUCUGGAUUGCAUCUCCUCCCACUGCUGAGAGAUGUCUCAGUGCUGAUUAUUCUUUCCUGCUGCAAAUUCCCCCUCCCAGUUCAUUCCUGUCAUCAUUUCCAUAUGGUUGAGCUUUUAGCACGCUUAUCGAAGAAAGGAAUUUCUCAUAAUCUCACAUUUUUUUUGAGUUACGACCUAAUCUCUCUUUUCUUCUACACCAAAUUCCUGGAAAGAAGUGUAUAUAAUAUAGGUGAGUAUUUCUUUUUAGCUACCAAGACAUGUAAUUUAUUCUACUCACAUGUAAGGUUUACAUUUUCAUAGCUGAGUUUUUAAAGCUCGUGGUAAAAUACACACAACAAAAAAUUUAUCAUCAUGACUAUUUUUAAGUAAACAGUUCAGCAGUAUUAAGUGUAUUGACAUUUUUGUGCAACUGAUCUGCUGAAUUCUUUCCAUCUUGCAGAACUCAAACUCUAGACCCAUGAAGCAAAAAGUUUCCAUUCCCCCUUUCUCCAGCUCCUGGCAACCACCAUUCCGCUCUCUCUUUCUGAUUUGGCUACUCUAGAUAUUUCAUGUAGAUGGAAUUGUAUAGUAUUUGUCUUUUUGUGAUCGGCUUAUUUCAUUUAAUGGCCUAAUGGUUCUUUUCUGGGAAAAUUAAAGCAUUUAGAACUAGAACGCUUCAAUGUCCUGCUCCCAAAUCAAUUCACCUGACCGAAUACCUCUUCUGCUCCUCCGAGCCUCAUUCCCUCUCUUUGCACUUAGAGGAGGUGUUUGUCCUCUUGGCAGAGGCCCAUAUUUCUAUCUGUACUCUGGAUUGUGUCUCCUCUCACUUCUGAGAAAUGUCUCACUAUUGAUUUUUCUUUCCUGCUCCAAAUUAUCCCAUUAGAAUGGCCACUAAUGGAAAAAAAGAGAAAUACAAAAUAAUAACUGUUAGGAAAGAUGUGGAGAAAUUAGAAUCUUUAGGUACUUUUUGUAGGCAUUUACAAACAUUAGGUACUGUUUGUAGGAAUGCCCUUUCUCUGUUGAGUGUAACUAGCUCAUCCAUGUUGUACCAUGUGUCAGAAUUUUCUUUUGGGGGCUAAAUAAUAUUCCAUAGUAGUAUAUAUGUAUCUACACUACAUUUCUAUGUUUUGUUUAUCCAUUCAUUCAUCAGUGAUGGACACUUGGGGUGCGUCCACCUUUUUGCUAUUGAGAAUAAUGCUGCUGUGAACAUGGAUGGAGACAUAUCUCUUCAAGGCCGUGCUUUCACAUCAUUUGGGUAUACACCCGGAAGUGGGAUUACUGGAUUAUAUGGUAAUUCUAUUUUAAAUCUUUUGAGGAAGUUCCAUACUUACCUUUUUCAUAGUAGCUGUACCAUUUUACAUUCCUACAAACAGUACUUAAAGAUUCUAAUUUCUCUACAUCUGUGCUAACAGUUAUUAUUUUGUAUUUCGCUUUUUUUCCAGGAGUGGCCAUUCUCAUGGGAUAAAGUGGUCUCUCACUGUGGUUUUGAUUUGCAGUUCCCUGACGAUUAGUGGUGCUGAGCGUCUUUUCAUGUACUCAUUAGCUGUUUGUAUACCUUCUUUGCAGAAGUGUCUAUUCUUUGUCCAUGUUUUAAUUGCGUCUUUUGCCCUUUUUUUGUUGAGUAUAACUAGCUCAAUUUUUUUCAUCAUUUCCUCCUUGCUCCUCAGUGCAUUCCAUUUUGGAUACUGCUAAUAUCAGCAAAAUAGCUCUCUGGAAGGCCACUAGGAAUCCGCAUGCCAUCAUGUGUGAUGGGCAUUUUCAGCCUUCAUUUCGUACUCUCAACCUUUGACGUGGCUGAUCUCUCCCUUCUUCCCACUGGCUUCCCUGAUGGCAGCUGACAUUCCCCCAUGACCCUGCCUUCUUUUCAGGCUACUCCUCCGGCUCGUCCUCUUCAGCAGGCUCCUCCAUCCUGUGCUCCUUCACAAUUGGCUUUCAGGUCUCCUUCACACUCUCUCUUGCCCGGCGAUCUCACAUUUGCUUGUGGCUGGUGCCAGCUACAAGCGCCAUUUACAUUCCAAUCAUCCCAAAAUUUAAAUUUCUAGAUCAGCUUGCUUUUCUGAAUUCCAGAUGCAAAUGAUCUAAUUGUCCAUUAACAUUCCCACUUGCACUUCUUAGGGGCACUCUGCUAAUCCUCUCUCUCUGCGGCUGCUUGUUGCUUCCUGUCGUGGACUGUAGUUUUCUUCCCCAGCACUUGCCAGUUUACAGCCAGUCACUCCGGGUGGCCAGUGUCUUUCUCCUUCCUCGCCUGUAACCUCACAGGACUGCAGGAGCCUUGCUUGUUUGCCUCACCACUGCAUCCCAAGGAUGUAGCAGAGUGCCUGACACAUGGCAACCAAGCACAGAGAUCCUUGAGAGAUGAAGAAAAAACAAGAUGAGUCCUCUAACAGCUCAGCUUACUGUUUUGAGGACAUUUUCAGGUGUAGCAUGGGGAGGAGAAGCUCAGAAGACUCUCUGAGUUAAGGAGAUUGAACAAAGCAUCAAGGAGGACCAAAGCAUUUGGAGUAUAGAGUACCAGAGUAUAUAAAGCUCUAAGUGAGAGAACCCUGAAGAAUUAUAGAAGGUUCCCCUUAACUAUUCAACAGAGUACAUACAGACCAACGCAGAUAUGCGAGGAAACUACUUGGAGCUAGGAAAAGAACCAUUUGAAAAGAUUAGAGGAAAUAGUACUGAAUGCUCAUACAGGACUGGGGACUCUGACUGCUUCAAUCAACAAUGCUAGAAAACUCAACCCGUUGGGUGUUGGGUAGAGUACUUGGUAAGGUCUUACCUCUGUUGCAAGGAAUGACUGGCCCUAGACAUAGCACUGGUCUAGACAUGCCUACCAAAUCAUAGUUGCAAGACUGAAAAAAAAUCAAGUUGUUUGUAAGAAAUUUAACAGCAUCACAGAACAAAAUUCAAGAAUAUUUAGAGGAAUACAAAAAUGUCCCACACUGAAAAAGACAAACUUUUCAAUGUCAGACAGCUAAUCAAAGAUUACCAGACACACAAAGAAGCAGGAAACUUCUCCUAUAUGAGUCACAUGGGAGAAUACACAUAUAAUUAAAACUGACCCAGAUGUUAGAAUUCGCAGAAAAAUUUAUUAUAAAGUUAUAACAUUCCAUGUUUUCAAAAAGUUAAGUAGAGACAGGGAAGAUGUAGAAAGAAACUCAAAUUGAAUUUUUAUAAAGAUGGAAACAAUAAUGUCUUCAGUGAAAGCACAUAGGAUGGGAUUAGCAAUGGUUUAGACACUGCAGAAGUACAUAUUAAUGUGCUUGACGACAUAAUAACUUUAGAAAGUAAAACACAAGGAAGAUAUUAAGAAAAGAGCAUCAGUGGACUAUGAGUAAACUUCAAGUGAUGUAAUAGAUAUAUAACUGUAGGCCUUAAAGGCGUAGGAGAACAGAAAAAAUAGUUAAAGGAAUAAUGAUCAAUCAUGAUGAAAACUAUAAACAUGCAGAUUCAAAAAUUAUCAACCCCAAGCAAAAAGUGAAGAAAACUACACCAAAGCCAUCCAGAAUCUACAAGGAAAUCAAAUAAGCAAGAAAAAAGCAGUUCUGUCAAAAAGUGGGCUAAGGACAAUGAAUACACAAUUCUCAAGAGAAGAUACACAAAUGGCCAAGAAACAUGAAAAAAUGCUCAACAUAGUUACCAGGGCAAGGCAAAUCCAAACCACCCUGUGAUACCACCUUACCCACAAGAAUGGCCAGAAUUAAAAAAUAAAAGAUGUUUUUUUUUGUGGUGAAAAGGGAACACUUUUACACUGUUGGUGGGUUGUAAACUAGUACAACCACUAUGGAAAACAGUGUGGAGAUUCCCUAAAGAACUAAAAGUAGAUCUACCAUUUGAUCCCGCAAUCGCACUACUGGGUAUCUACCCAGAGGAAAAGAAGUUAUUAUAUGAAAAAGAUACACUUUCAGAUGCAUAUUUAUAGCAGCACAAUUUGCAUUUGCAGAAAUAUGGAGCCAGCCGAAAUGCUCAUCAAUCAAUGAGUUGAUAAAGAAAAUGCGGUGUAUAUAUAUGUAUAUAUAUAUUAAAAAGUUAUAACAUUCCAUGUUUUCAAAAAGUUUAGUAGAGACAGGGAAGAUGUAGAAAGAAACUCAGGAAUGAGAAACAUCAUAUGUUCUCACUUACAAGUGGGAGCUAAGGUAUGAAGACACAAAGGCAUAAGAAUGGUACAAAGGACUUUGGAGACUCAGGGGAAAGAGUGGAGGUGGGUGGGGGAUAAAAGACUUCACAUCAGGUAGAAUGUUUACUGCUUGGAUCACAGGUGCACCAAUAUCUCAGAAAUCAGCACUAACGGGCUUAUCCAUGUAACCAAACAUGAACUGUUCCCCAAAAACCUAUUGAAAUAAAAAAAUAAGUAAAAAUUGCUUAAAUGCAAUGAUAAAAAUAAAACCUUAGAAGCAGCCAGAAAAAAAAAACAUAUUUACAGAACAAAGCUAUGACAGGACCAGAUUUCUCAUUGCAAACAAUACCAAUGACAAAACAGUGGAGCAGCACCUUUAAAGGACUAAAAGAAAGAAAAAAAAGCCCUGAUAAUUUGGAAGUCUAUGCCAGCAGAAAGAGCUUUCAAAAACUAAGGUGAAGCUACUCAGGAGGCUGAGGCAGGAGAAUUGCCUGAACCCAGGAGGCGGAGGUUGCAGUGAGCCGAGAUUGUACCAUUGUACUCCAGCCUGGGUAACAAGAGUGAAACUCCAUCUCAAAAAAAAAAAAAAAAAAAAAAAACAGUUGAUAUAAAAAUAUUUUCAGACAUCAGCACCUGAAAGAAUUUACCACCUGCAAACCCAUCUUACAAGAAAUUUAAAGGAAGAGCUUUAAGGUAGAAGGAAAAUGAUACCAGAUGGUAUCAUUGAAGAGCACAGAGAAUGGUAGAAGCAUGGAUAGUUAUAUAAGAAUUUUUAUUAGUGGUAUCUCUUUAAAAGAUACUUAACAGUUUAAACACAAAUCAGCAUUGUGGGGUUUACAACAUAAAAAAGUAAAAUGUAUUAAAACAAUAGCAUAAACUCAGGGAAGGGGCCAGGCAUGGUGGCUCACCCAGGACUUUGGGAGGCCAAGGUGGGAAGAUCAUAAGGUCAGGAGAUCGAGACCAUCCUGGUCAACAUGGUGAAAUCCCAUCUCUACUUUAAAAAAAAAAAAAAAAAGCUGGGUACGGUUGUGCACACCUGUAGUCCUAGCUACUUGGGAGGCUGAGCCAGGAGAAUUGCUUGAACCCAGGAGGCAGAGGUUGCAGUAAGCUGAAAUCAAGCCACUGCACUGCAGCCUGGUGACAGAGAGAGAUUUUUGUCUCAAAAAAAACAAAAAACAAAAAACAAAAAAACAGGAUCAGGGAGGGAGAGAAAUAUACAACUUGUAAGUUUUUUAUAUUAUACACGCAAUGGUAUAAUAUUAGUUGAAAGUAGAUGGUGAUAAAUUAAAGAUGUUUACUAUAAAUCCUGAAGCAACCACUAAAGUAAUACCACAAAGAGUUAAAGCUAAAGAGCUAACAAAAGGAGAUAAAUGUAAUUAUUUAAAAAAUUCGAUUAAUUCAAAAGAAGGCAGAAAAGGAGGGAAAGGACAAUAACGAACAGAUGUAACAAGAAAUAAAUGGAAAAAUGAUCACUUAAAACCUAGUUAUAUCAAUAAUCACAUUGAUUACAAAUAGUUUAAAUACCUCAAUUAAGAGGCAGAGAUUGUCAAAUUGGCUAAAAAAGCAAGGCCCAGUUAUAGGUUGUCUACAAGAAACACACUUAAAACUUAAAGGCCCAAAUGGAUUAAAUACGUAAGUAUGCAAAAAGAUAUCCCAUGCUAAGAUUGGUCAAAAGAAAGCUGCAGGUCAGGAGUUUGAAACCAGCCUGGCCAACAUGGUGAAACCCCGUGUCUACUAAAAAAUACAAAAACUAGCCUGGCUUGGUGGCAUGCACCUGUAAUCCCAACUACUCAGGAGUCUGAGGCAGGAGAAUCACUUGAACCUGGGAGGCAGAGGUUACAGUGAGCUAAGAUCGUGCCACUGCACUGCGGCCUGGGCAACAGAGCAAGACAAUGUGUCUGAAAAAGAAAAAGACAUAACUAAAGGAACUGCAAGAAGAAAUUAUAGUAAAAACUUUUAGUGGCCAUUUCUCAGAGUUAAUAUAACAAGUUCACAGAAAAUCAAUGAAGAUACAGCAGACAUGAACAGCACUGUCACUCAACAUGGCCUGGGUAACAUUCACAGAACACACUCUACUACAGCGUUACGUCCAACAUCAUUAGUCACUAAAGAAAUGAAAUUAGUACCACAAUGUGAAGUUACUACACACCUGUCAUUGAGGCUAAAAUUAGAAAGAUUGAUUAUGCCAAGUAUUGGUGAGGAUAGAAAUUUUAUACACUGCCAUUGGGAAUGUAAAGUGAUUCAACUUUGGAAAACACUUGGGCAGUUUCUUCAGAAGAUAAAAAUCAACCAUUUUCAGCCAUUCUGCUUCUGGGUGUAUAUCCAACAGAAAUGAAAGCAUCUGUUUUUACGAAAACUUGUGCACGAACAUUAGCAGCUUUAUUAGUAGCAGCCAAAAGUGGAAACAAUCAAAUGCCCUUCAGGCGAUGGAUGGAUAAGCACAUUGUGGUAUAUUCAUACCAUGGAAUACUUUUUCAACAGGAAAGUCAGUGCACUGUUGAUACAUGCAGUGUAGACGAAUCUCAAAAUAAUUAUGCUAAGUGAAAGAUACCAGACAAAAAGAAUGCAUAUUCUGUGAUGUCAUGGUCUAAAAUUCUAGAAUGUAUUGUUAGGAAAAGCAGAUCAGUGGGUACAUGGGAUAGAGUGAGAGGAGGGCAGAAAGGGAACGAUUACAAACGAACGUGAGGAAACUGUGGGGGUUGUGGGGGUGUUCACUAGCUUGAUUGUGCUGAUGGCUCCGUGGGUGUAUACACAUCACAACUUAUCAAGUUGUCUUUUUACUUUAUUUUUAGAUGGAGUUUCGCUCUGUCACCUAGGGUGGAGUGCCGUCGUGAGAUCUCAGCUCACUGCAACCUCCCCCUCCUGGACUCGGGCAAUUCUCCGGCCUCAGCCUCCCGAGUAGCUGGGAUUCAGGCACAUGCCACCACGCCCAGCUAAUUUUUGUGUUUUUAGUAGAGACAGGGAUUCACCAUGUUGGCCAGACUGGUCUUGAACUCCUGAUCUCAGGUGAUCCAUCUCUAUUGGCCUCCCAAAGUGCUGGGAUUGCCGGCAUGAACUACUAUGCCUGGCCAAGUUGUCCAUGUUAAAUAUGUACAAAACUUGUCAAGUAUAUCCAAAGAAAACUGCUGAAAAAUAGGAAUUUUACAAGAAUGAAAAAAUAGGAAAUUAUUGUUUUAUGAUCUGUACCCAAGCUAACCAAGUCUCCAAAUUGAAAGAAUCACCUUCAGUCAAAUUUCAGACUCAGUAGUCUGAGUCUGACUACUGAUUUUGCUCUUUCCUCCCUGAAGACACUACCAUGGCUCUGUGGAGUCAGUGCUCUCCCCUUCAUGCCACUAGCAGUAAACUCACUUUGUCUGAUCAACAGGUUGCUUUGAUAGUAUUUUGGGGAACUGGCAUUUGAUAAUACUUCCCUUCCAUACAAUAUGACACAGAUAUUAAAAAGAAGGGGUUCUACACCAGUUGGUAUAAAGAAAUUCCAGGAUAUCAUGUUAAGUGAGAAAAGCCAAAUGCAGAGGAAAGUUUUCUAUUUUUGUAAAGCAUUGAUUUAAAUGAAAGCAUCUUAGAUGAAUAUAUAUGCAUGUGUAUAAAGGCAUCGCCCAUGAGAUAGCUUUGCAUAGAAUCAUGCCAGUUAAGAAACGUUGAUCAUCUGGGGGAAAUGACAUAUAUUGGAGGUUAGGAAGGUGAGAGUAAUUAAAAAAAACCAAUCGAACAAAAUCACGUAUUCAAAGAAAAAAAAGUGUCCAUAAUCCAGCAGCAUUUGUAAUAUGCACCUUUUCAAUGUGUUGAGGUAGCUUCAAACUGUUAAUGGAAAUAAUGUCAAGUUUCUUUGAAUUUUCCUGAAUUAACAAACACACAGUAAAAAGUAUUAUUUUAUUACCUCUCUGUUACUUUUAUCUCUAAUCUUACAGGUCUAACCUCAUUAAUUAUAAUAAUGCUAGUGUAGAAAAUAGUAAAUUUUGGAAUAAUAAGAUCUUAAGGAUUUUUUUCCCUGCAUACAGCCAUAAUGUUUGCUUUAUCAUUUGUUUUACAAAUCUCAUUAAAACUUUACUGCUUGAUCAAUGUUUCAUGAAUUUUUAAAGACAUAAAUCCUCUACCAUAUUUUUUUUUAAAAUAAAACUCUUCAGUGUUCAUGUUUUCACUUCUACAAAACUAGCCUAAUUCCAUACAAAUUGCAAAGACCUUGGCACUGCCUUUGUCUCCAGUGAAAAAUGAGCUCCAUUUGACGGCUGACCUUCCAAACAACUGUAGCUUCCUCAGAAAUAUAUAGGAUCUAUCGGCCCACAGCUGUUACCUUAUAAGAAUCAUUACUUGAGUGCUCAAGGGAAAACUAGUUCCACGG